GCUGGCGGUGUGCCUAAUACAUGCAAGUCGAGCGGUAACAGGCUCUCACUAUUUACUUGAAGUCGAGACAGGAACGAUUUCGCAGGAAUCGUAUCACUAACGAUAGACGAGCGAACAUCAAGUAAAGAGUGAGAGUGCNGACGAGCGGCGGACGGCUGAGUAACACGUAGGAACGUANCCCAAAGUGAGGGAUNAGCACCAGAAAUGGUGUCUAAUACCGCAUGUGCUCUAAGGAGUAAAGCUUUACGCGCUUUGGGAACGGCCUGCGCAUGAUUAGCUUGUUGGUGAGGUAAAAGCUCACCAAGGCGACGAUCGUUAGCUGGUCUGAGAGGAUGAUCAGCCAGACUGGGACUGAGACACGGCCCAGACUCCUACGGGAGGCAGCAGUAGGGAAUUUUCCACAAUGGGCGAAAGCCUGAUGGAGCAACACCGCGUGCAGGAUGAAGGCCUUC
rnacentral:rRNA from 1 species